rnacentral:misc_RNA from 1 species
GAUGAAGAACGCAGCGAAGUGCGAUAAGUAAUGUGAAUUGCAGAAUUCCGUGAAUCAUCGAAUCUUUGAACGCAAAUUGCACUUUCUGGUAUUCCGGAGAGUAUGCCUGUUUGAGGGUCAGUGUAAUAAAAAUAAAUCGUGGUUGUUACCACUUUUCGUGGUGACGCUUCGGAAUUGAGUCGUCUUACCUUCGGUUAAGUGACUUAAAAUUUUUUCAUACGAUUUCGAAACGUAUUUAAUGUAUUAUGUAUGUUCACGAAUAUCGAAUGUUUAUUAGGUGCGGUCAUUUUCAUGAAUUCGCGUCUAUAAUUUUUUUUUUUUUGACCUCAAAUCAGGUAAGAAUACCCGCUGAACUUAAGCAUAUCAAUAAGCGGAGGA